rnacentral:rRNA from 1 species
AGUGAACGCUGGCGGUAGGCCUAACACAUGCAAGUCGAACGGCAGCACAGUAAGAGCUUGCUCUUACGGGUGGCGAGUGGCGGACGGGUGAGGAAUACAUCGGAAUCUACUUUUUCGUGGGGGAUAACGUAGGGAAACUUACGCUAAUACCGCAUACGACCUACGGGUGAAAGCAGGGGAUCUUCGGACCUUGCGCGAUUGAAUGAGCCGAUGUCGGAUUAGCUAGUUGGCGGGGUAAAGGCCCACCAAGGCGACGAUCCGUAGCUGGUCUGAGAGGAUGAUUAGGCACACUGGAACUGAGACACGGUCCAGACUCCUACGGGAGGCAGCAGUGGGGAAUAUUGGACAAUGGGCGCAAGCCUGAUCCAGCCAUGCCGCGUGGGUGAAGAAGGCCUUCGGGUUGUAAAGCCCUUUUGGUGGGAAAGAAAAGCAGCAGGUUAAUACCCCGCUGUUCUGACGGUACCCAAAGAAUAAGCACCGGCUAACUUCGUG